UGGGGAAUAUUGCACAAUGGGCGAAAGCCUGAUGCAGCAACGCCGCGUGAGUGAUGAAGGUCUUCGGAUUGUAAAGCUCUGUCUUUUGGGACGAUAAUGACGGUACCAAAGGAGGAAGCCACGGCUAACUACGUGCCAGCAGCCGCGGUAAUACGUAGGUGGCGAGCGUUGUCCGGAUUUACUGGGCGUAAGGGUGCGUAGGCGGAUGUUUAAGUGAGAUGUGAAAUACCCGGGCUUAACUUGGGUGCUGCAUUUCAAACUGGAUAUCUAGAGUGCAGGAGAGGAGAAUGGAA
rnacentral:rRNA from 1 species